rnacentral:rRNA from 1 species
UGGGGAAUUUUUCCGCAAUGGGCGAAAGCCUGACGGAGCAAUGCCGCGUGGAGGUGGAAGGCCUACGGGUCGUCAACUUCUUUUCUCGGAGAAGAAACAAUGACGGUAUCUGAGGAAUAAGCAUCGGCUAACUCUGUGCCUG